UCAGAGAGGAGCCCUGGAUUCCCUGUUGCUGCCUUGUGGUGUGAUCAGGGAAGCAUGUGGCAGAGGUGAUAUCCCUUCCGUGCUUUGGGGCUCUGCUCUUCAAAGCUGUGCUUGGGUUGAUUUGAAAGAAUGUUUCCAGGGUUGUGUAAAUUCUGUGCAAGAAGAGCGAAGGGGUCUCCCUUGAGCACUGUGUCCAUAGAUGAGGCUCCUGACUGUGGAUGAGUGCUUUGAAAGGGGAAGCAGCACCUCUCCUGGUGUCACACACAAGCUGUGGAGACUCCUUGCACAUGAGCAUCUCCCUCACCACUAGGAAUUGAAAAGGGUGCUACCAGCAGUAUGCCAUUUGCAAGAUACCAUGGUGCUGAUAUGUUUGGCUUUGCCUGUGAUGAAAUGUGUGUUUAUCCUGAAUCUGAAGAGGACUUUCGUCUUAGGCAUUCUUCCAUGGCCUUGAAAGUAGCAGUACCAGAAUUGUAGUCCUCCUCCCAGUUUAUCUGCACUGUGACACCUGAGUAUCUGGCCUGCACCCCUCUGCACCUGAGCUGAACGUUGGGCAUGCAGCUCUUUGUCAGGCUGCUUGUACCACUCCGUAGUUGGCAGAAAGACUGCAAAUGGGCUUUAAGUUGUGUGAGAUAGGUGGGGAAGGGGAAUGUGAAGAGCAAGUGCUGUUAUAACUUUAAUGUUAACACAAAUUUAGUCUGUUGGCAAAACACGGUGAUAGUGGAUCAUUCAAAAUAAAUUAUGUUUGUAAGUAUAAA